UACGGACGGGGCGAGCGUUGUUCGGAAUCAUUGGGCGUAAAGGGCGCGUAGGUGGUUCUGUAUGUCUGCCGUGAAAGGGUACAGCUUAACUGUAGCUUGUCGGUAGAAACUGCAGGACUUGAGGCUGGGAGGGGCUGGUGGAAUUCCCUGUGUAGCGGUGAAAUGCGUAGAGAUGGGGGAGAACACUCGUGGCGAAGGCGGCCAGCUAGACCAGUUCUGACACUGAGGCGCGACAGCGUGGGGAGCAAACAGG
rnacentral:rRNA from 1 species